AAUACCCUAAAAACAAAUGAUGUGUAAACAAGUCGAAAAAUGAACCAAAUCCAGUAUUUUCAAGACAAAAAUAUACUUAGGUGCAUGAAACUUACGGCCAAAUUUUUCCACAAGACUGAACUCCGACCUUUCUUCUGCCUUUCAGCAUUGAACAUAGCUAUUGCACUAUACCAGAACAAGAAAAUUAAGACUUCAGAAAAACUAAAGAAGGCAACAAUUAUUUUUAAAUAGAUUUAAUGAUCUCAAUAUGUAUGAUCAAUACAAGUGACUUACGAUUCCACAAUCUUCAUCCAAUCUCCGGUGGGCAAGCGUCUUUUAAGAGGAUCCAUAAAAUAGGCAGUGCUUUGGUCUGGAUCGAUAAUUGUCAACAUCCAGUGAUCACUACAUACAUAAAGUAUAUAUGUUGAACAGAGCUAAAAUUAAUUGCAAAGAAUAAACGAAAAAAAAAAACCUUCAUGGACUUACCCCGAGUUGAAUGGCAACAUGAACAUCUGUCCAGGUUUUGCAGUUACAAGCCUAUCUCUAAUGUGUUUGGCCCUAACAGUUCCAGUUCCAGACCCUUUUGCACCAAUCAGUGAAGGAUCAACAAAUGCAACCAUGUCCACCAUUUUAUAAGCAACCAUCUGCUCAUAGAGGUACCUAAGCGUCAACCAUUUACACCAAACAAAUUACUUUCAGCAAUAAAAUUCAGCAACCAUAUAUGUAAUGAACAAUUUGAAUGUUUUAUACCUUUGGUACACAACAAUACAAGUUCCAGAAACUUCCCUCAUGCUUGCAAGUCGUCGAACAUCUGAUCCCAUUAUAAAGGUCUUGCGAGAGAAUCCAAAGACUUCAGGUUCUAUGUGGAAGCUGAUGGUACGUCCAUCUCUGAAUUUGUCCUCACCCCAUUGGCAUAACAUCUUCAAUGAUUCUGGGAAUGGGACCUUUGCUUUUUCCUCAAUCGCCUCAUAGAUGGAAACACGCAUAUUGCCAUCGCCGAGUGGAGCUCCAUGAAUAACUUGGGAGCUAUCAUGACACUCCAUAACAGUGGCAUAGGCCACAAUAUGGUCAACAGAACCUAAUGCCAACUGGCAUUUAAUCUCAGCACUAGGUGACUGAAAAGAAG